CUGCGAGGGUCACCGCCUCCGGGCGAGCGAGCCACAACGCGGCCCGGUCACUGUCCUCGUCCACAGGCGGGGCGGAUACCCAGGUGUCUUCGGAGUUCAGAGCAGACAGUGAGGGAUGGAUCGUGGUAAUUUGUAAUUCGAAAACUGAUACAAGAUGAAAAGUUCUACUCUCCUGGUGACUCCCUGCUCCGGCAGGGUGCGAUGCUAUGACAGCUGGUGAGGCAGAACAUCAGACCUCGGUUCACAAAAGGGCGGAGUUAAUGCAUGAACAGGAAUGUUCCUCCCUCGCUCACAGGGGCACAGGUGGAUCCAUGAACUACUUGGGGAUGGAGUAAGUCAACUCUGAAGAAGCUAGAGGAAGUUCUGCCACUUCAGGGAAAGAAGACCAGGAUGCCGCCAUGGCCA